AAAAAAAUGCCAGCAUUGUGAGGGUGCCGCAGCUGUUAUAUAAAUAAGAGACACCCCUCGCCCUCAAAGUCGUUUCGUCGGUCUCGUUUUUGUUGAAUCCAUCCGACCGUAACACCGUUUCUUCUCUACGAUUUUUAAACAUGAGUGCAAUGAGUAAUAUAUCUGUCCGAGGAGCAAAUGAGCGACUUAAACCGCGCGCGUUCGAGGCACGUUGUCGGGUUGCGUACGUCUAACUGCGAACUUCAAGCAAUGAUGAAAGCGGGAUACUUUUUACCAGAGUGGGGAGCGGUGCUAACAUGCGUGGCUGUGGUGUGGGCCAACGACCAAACAGUCGGCAACUGCGUGGAUGACUCGCUCUGCUCGUUGUCCUGCGUCGAACGGCACAUGCACGAAGCGCGCUAUAUAGGUGUAGCUGGCCACUGCAAGAACGGUAGCUGCGUCUGCACCUAUCUGGAACCCUGUGAACCCAAACGGUGCGUGGAAGACUGCAAGAAAAAACACCCGGACAAGUUACACUUGAAGGCGGAGUGCAAAGAUAAAGGCACCUGUCAAUGCACAUGGAAUUCCAAAUGUGAGGAGGCUUGGUGCGAUGCCGAGUGCCGACGAAAGCACGCGGGGAAGCAGCAUCUGCACUCUACUUGCGAAGGGUACAAGUGUAUGUGUCACUGGCACGCAGGC